CAUAAGAAAGUAUAGCUCUUUUUGUUUGUUUAUUUAAUGUGUUUGCUGCUCAAUUAAAUUAUAGUCUGUUAUCGUGACAAAAUAACUUUUUUUUUAAAUAAGAAGAAAAUAAUUGGUGUUCUGCCUACCUGCCGCUCUGAACACGUCACGUUGGGGCGGCUCUCACAGCAGGUGUGCUCUCUGGGUGCGAGAAGAAUAGAAGGAACAGAAUAGACGCACCUUCCGUUAUUUUCAGGGUGUAUCGACACAAUGAUGGACUUUAGACGCAUAGGCGGGUGUGUGCCGUUAUUUUUUCUGGCUAUUGGUUUUGAUGUUAUUGGUUUUAUUAUCCUGUUCAUUGGAAUUUUUGCCAAUUUGCGUAUCGAUGGCAGGUUUUAUGGCGAUUUCUUGAUUUACAGUGGUUCAAUUAUAAUUUUCAUAAGUUUGGCUUGGUGGAUUAUGUGGUACGUGGGAAAUAUACAGGUCUCAGAAGACAGCUUUGGAACAAGCUUAAUGAAAAAUAAACAGAGUUUUGUACAGUUGGCCAGAAAGUUGUCAGAGAGGCUUUCCAAAAAAUGCAAACAUGAACAUGUAACCACAAAGUAUGCAGAGGAAAACAAGGUUAAAGCUGUGACGCCUUCACCUGUUCACGUCGCCUCUCGAAUAACCUGGGGGAAAUAUCAGAAUGGCGGCUAUGACUCCAGCUUGGACUCCUUUCAGAUGGAGAAGGAAAAACAGACACCAGAUAUACAGAACUUGGAUGUGGAGACCCUCUCUAGGGGUUCUCCGUAGCACUUUCUGAUCCCAAGACUACCUUCAACACUAUACGCUUCACGGAAUGGGACUACAGACAAUUCAGGACAUUAAUCAGUACUGGUCUGGACGUUAGUUCUUGACAACAAAGACUCAUCAUUAUGGGGUGAAAUGACCUAUAGUCCUAGGGAAAUAGACCUACUGUAGAUAUUGCUCUAAAUGCAUGUUAUAUUCUUUUAUCUUUUUAUUUACAUAUCAAUUAUUAAUAUAAUCUCCAUGUGAUGUUAUGUGAACUUUUUAUGUUCAAGGAUCAAUAUUAUGUGGAAAGGCUAUAUUUUGUCAUAUAAAAAUAUCGACUUGUUAAGGUUCAUCGUAGCCAUUUUCUAGAAUAGUCUCCGACGGAAAUCCUAGAGGCCCCUGUCUGAAUGGCAGGUAAUUGAACACAGACUCGCCCCAAGCUAGACCCAGAAAUGCAAUCACCUGCAUUUACAAUUGUUUUACAUAAAAACAGUAGUCAGGCAGGUUUGCCUGUGCCACAACAAUUGCAUUGCCAAAGCAGGCUGUAAACCCGCAACAAAAUGUUGUGUGGCCUGGGGCACUGAGCUUGGUUUCACCUGUAUGUUGACAUUACAUGGACAUUUGGGCUAUACUCUUUUAACUGUUCACUGAGUAGGCUGAUUUUGUUUUUAUUCAUGUGCGCAAACUUCUAAAAUGCAUAUUCCACCAGACUGCAUUUUUUUUAAUGUUGUGAAUUAUUUUAUAUUUUAUUUCUUAAUAUUCUUUAGAUUUCAGUUGCCUUACCAACAUAUAGCUUUUGUCUAACAUGACUGAUAAUGAGCGUGUGCAUAUCAAGUCAUUGUACUCAGGGCGUUGCCUGUCUGUAUGCUAAGUAUUACCUAAUCCUGGCCUGUUGACUCUGCUUUGCGGUCCUUGGUUGAAUAGGUGUUGCACAGAGGUAAACCAAACUCCCACGACUGUCUGACUUGUCAAACCAGGUACUUAAAGGGUGAGGUUUUUCACUGCAGUUCCUCUUUCUGUCAUGAUGUAGGAAGCAUGAAAUAGUAAAUAAUUGUGGAAUGCGUCCAGUAGGCCUUCUGCAGGCUAAAUAUAAACGGCUGAUAGAAUUAGAAUCACUGAAAUAUAUUUUCCCACACUGUUCAUAAUGUUAUAUGUUAUACAUAUAUGCUGAUGUCAUAAUAUUCAUAUGAAAUGCAUUAUUAUUUUAUACACAGAGGCAUGGUGCAUUAGUUAUUUAUUUUAAAUAUACAUCCAAUGUCCAAUGAUCUUGAUAAGCAUACAAAAUAAAAAUAGUUAUCUAAUGAGAUGAUCCAUUUCAAGCACUGUCAUUAUAUUGCUGCAAGUCAGGGAUUGCUAAGGAAUGAGGUUGGACCAUUUGGCCUUUAAGUUUUAAUGUAUCAUUAAGAGUAGUACAACCUGUUGUGGUUGGAUACCAGUUCUGCUGCUGUUUCCUACAAUGGAAGAAUUUGAAGGCGUGCUGAAAAUCAGAAGAAUGCGACUUGCGUUUUAAAAAGGUUGUGGCUGGAAAGGCCUCUCCUCAUUCUUGUAAAGUCCUCAGCCGGCAGGAACCCAGACUGCGUCCAUGUCCCUGUUAUGGAUACCUCUUCUAUGGGUCGCUGUGUUUUCUUUCUCAUCCUGGCUUUGGUCUUUGAUGUUGUUGGUCUGAUCCUAUUUUUCCUGGGGAUCUUUGCUCCUCUGAGUUUCUGGGACUUCUUUGUGCUGUCGGGGCCCCUGCUCAUCUUCCUCAGCCUGGUCUUCUGGAUAUUCUGGUACCUGGGGAGUCUCACAGUGCCUUACGAAGAGCUCAUCUUGCCAAAGUGACACCCAAACAUGGUCAAAGGUGACCCACCUGACCAAUGGCUGGUCCCCUGGACUGACAGCUUGACCCUCACAACUUUAAGGAGUUGACAGAAUUCUGGAUUCUGGGUGUUUGACCAUGUUUCUCAUUGGACUGUGAACCGGAGGCCCUUGUUUUCUUUAAAGAAGGAACCUGUUGGACCCUGGAACAACUCCAGUUGGAAGUGAAGAAUGGCAUAUGCACCCUAUUCUACCCCUAUGAUGAAGAAUGACAAGAUGUCAUGUACAGACAGCCAGGAUUUCAUCUGUGCUGGGUUGAAGUGGGACAUGAGCUCUAAAGCACUUGUGUCCAUCCUUAAAGACUGCAUCAGCACAUAUAACUCAUUUUAUAGUAUGUGUAAAAUAAUAAAUAUUUGUUCAAAUAAAUGUUUCUUUUUAAUGUUUUAUCCUCAAAAAUAAUAUCAGAACGAGAGGCUUCAAAAUGUGACAGACUCAACAUUUUGAAUGACUCAUUGAUUCAUGAAGUGCCUUGAGAGACUAGUCAAGGAUCAUAUCACCUCCACCUUACCGGCCACCCUAGACCCACUUCAGUUUGCAUACCGCCCCAACAUGUCCACAGACGAUGCAAUCAUCAUCACACUGCACAAUGCCCUAUCCCAUCUGGACAAAAGGAAUACCUAUGUAAGAAUACUGUUCAUUGACUACAGCUCAGCAUUCAACACCAUAGUACCUUCCAAGCUCAUCAUCAAGCUGGAGGCCCUGGGUCUCAACCCCGCCCUGUGCAAUUGGGUCCUGGACUUUCUGACAGCUGCCCCCAGGUGGUGAAGGUAGGAAACAACAUCUCCACUUUGCUGACCCUCAACACUGGGGCCCCACAAGGGUGCGUGCUCAGCCCCCUCCUGUACUUCCUGUUCACCCACGACUGCGUGGCCAUGCACGCCUCCAACUCAAUCAUCAAGUUUGCAGAUGACACAACAGUAGUGGGCUUGAUACCAACAACAACGAGACAGCCUACAGGGAGGAGGUGAGGGCGGUGUCAGGAAAACAACCUCUUCAGGAAACAGCAGAGGGAACACCCCCCUAACCACAUCGAAAGGACAGCAGCGGAGAAGGUGGAACGUUUUAAGUUCCUCGUCAUACACAUCACAGACAAACUGAAAUGGUCCACUCACACAGACAGUGUGGUGAAGAAGGCGCAACAGUGCUUCUUCAACCUCAGGAGGCUGAAGAAAUUUGGUUUGUCACCAAAAUCCUGACAAACCUUUACAGAUGCACAAUCGAGAGCAUCUUGUUGGGCUGUAUCACAGCCUGGUACGGCAACUGCACCACCAUCAACCGCAAGGCUCUCCAGAGGGUGGUGUGGUCUGCACAAUGCAUCACCGGGGGUAAACUACCUGCCCUCCAUGACACCUACAGCACCCAAUGUCACAGGAAGGCCAAAAAGAUCAUCAAGGACAACAACCACUUGAGCCACUGCCUGUUCACACUGCUAUACCAUCCAGAAGGUGAGGUCAGUACAAGUGCAUCAAAGCUGGGACCGAGAGACUGAAAAACAGCUUCUAUCUCAAGGCCGCCAGACUACUAAACAGCAAUCACUAACUCAGAGAGGCUGCUGCCUACAUUGAGAAUAAGGCUUAGGUUGCGUUUAUAUUUUUGUUCAGUAUAGUAGCAUCUAUUGUAAGUACAGAAUAUUACGCAGUAGACGGUAUACAAACAUUCAGAAUAUUGAUUCAGUCAAACUCAAACAAGUAACAAUUACAUGUGUGCUUGUGUUAGUUCUUGUAUGUGUGUAUACAAUGUGUGUUCCCUUUACUCACUCUGAGUUGAAGUUUGACUAAGGAGAGGAAGUUUUCAUUGUGCCUAUCCUCCUAUCCGACCCCUGGGAUUCCCCUUGCCCUAAUCAGCACUCUGGGCAGCAUUAGCUCCCUCUGACGCCCUCAUGGAGAGUGUUAUUAAUGAGUCCAUUUGGCUGUGGCCCCGGCCAGAGGAAAUGGAGGAGAGGCAUUAGAGCAGCUUCUCCCCAGGAGCAGUGGUAUGGAGUCCACGCUGCUCAGAGCCUCGCGGGACCCUGGGUUUCCUGCUAAUGCUCGAUUUCAGGUUGUCAUGGUGGCGUGAGUCAUAAACAUCAGUCGCACAUUAUCACUUCACACUCCAGUGGCAGAAUAUUAUAAGGCCUUGACAUGUUGGAGAGGUGAGGUAAGAGUUAUGUUGCCUGUUUUACACAUAGUUUACAAUUGUUUACAAUUAUGGGCUUGUCCAUCAACCUACCACAAAUACAUACUCUAGCAUAUUCUCACACAGGUGAGGCAGUCUUUUAAUACACCUGCGUAUCACUCUUUGGUAUACAAGCAGUUUGUAUACAAAUAAGUACAAGCUGUUACAUACGAACCAUAACAAAACAGAAUAAAUCUUUCACAAAUAUUUGCUCUUGUACCAUGAAAUAUCAAAUCAUUUCGAUGGUAUGAUUGCCAAAUCUAUUGAAAGGGUUACUGCCUACUGUAUGUCGAUAGCAUGUAAGAGAUCCAUAUAGGAAAAAUAAACAUGUGUUGUAAUGAUCAACAUUGUUC